rnacentral:rRNA from 1 species
GUACACUCCUGCGGGAGGCAGCAGUGGGGAAUAUUGGACAAUGGGCGCAAGCCUGAUCCAGCCAUGCCGCGUGAGUGAUGAAGGCCCUAGGGUUGUAAAGCUCUUUCACCGGUGAAGAUAAUGACGGUAACCGGAGAAGAAGCCCCGGCUAACUUCGUGCCAGCAGCCGCGGUAAUACGAAGGGGGCUAGCGUUGUUCGGAUUUACUGGGCGUAAAGCGCACGUAGGCGGACUAUUAAGUCAGGGGUGAAAUCCCGGGGCUCAACCCCGGAACUGCCUUUGAUACUGGUAGUCUUGAGUUCGAGAGAGGUGGGUGGAAUUCCGAGUGUAGAGGUGAAAUUCGUAGAUGUUCGGAGGAACACCAGUGGCGAAGGCGGCUCACUGGCUCGAUACUGACGCUGAGGUGCGAAAGCGUGGGGAGCAAACAGGAUUAGAAACCCCGGUAGUCCCAUGAU